rnacentral:rRNA from 1 species
GCGCACGCUGGCGGCAGGCCUCACCCAUGCAAGUCGCACGAACCUUUCGGGGUUAGUGGCGGACGGGUGAGUAACACGUGGGAACGUGCCUUUAGGUUCGGAAUAACUCAGGGAAACUUGUGCUAAUACCGAAUGUGCCCUUCGGGGGAAAGAUUAAUCGCCUUUAGAGCGGCCCGCGUCUGAUUAGCUAGUUGGUUGAGGUAAUGGCUCACCAAGGCGACGAUCAGUAGCUGGUCUGAGAGGAUGAUCAGCCACAUUGGGACUGAGACACGGCCCAAACUCCUACGGGAGGCAGCAGUGGGGAAUCUUGCGCAAUGGGCGAAAGCCUGACGCAGCCAUGCCGCGUGAAUGAUGAAGGUCUUAGGAUUGUAAAAUUCUUUCACCGGGGACGAUAAUGACGGUACCCGGAGAAGAAGCCCCGGCUAACUUCGUG